rnacentral:rRNA from 1 species
GACAGACUUAAAUACUUUAACUUCUACAUUAAAAUUUAUCUUAAUUCAACAUCGAGGUCGCAAUCCUUUUUAUCAAUAUGAUCUCUUAAAAAAAAUAACGCUGUUAUCCCUAAAGUAAUUUAAUUUAAUUUCACUAAUAAUGGAUUUUUAAUUCAUAAAUAUAUGUAACUAAAUUAAAAAAAUUUAUUAAAUUUUUUUGUCACCCCAACAAAAUAUUAAUAAAUUAAAUAAUCUUAUAAAAUUUAAAAAUUAUUUAAAUAUUAAUAUAAAAUUUUAUAGGGUCUUCUCGUCUUUUAAUUACAUUUUAGAAUUUUAACUAAACAUAAAAUUCAAUCAACUUUAAUUUGAGACAGAUUUUAUUUCAUUCAAUCCUUCAUUCAAGACUUAAAUAAUAAGACAAAUGAUUAUGCUACCUUUGUACAGUUAAAAUACUGCAGCUAUUUAAAUAUUCCAUUGAGCAGAUCAGAUUUUAAAUUAUAAUCAAAAAACCAUGUUUUUGAUAAAC